rnacentral:rRNA from 1 species
GAUCAUGGCUCAGGAUGAACGCUAGCUACAGGCUUAACACAUGCAAGUCGAGGGGGCAGCAUUUUAGUUUGCUUGCAAACUGAAGAUGGCGACCGGCGCACGGGUGAGUAACACGUAUCCAACCUGCCGAUAACUCCGGAAUAGCCUUUCGAAAGAAAGAUUAAAUACCGGAUAGCAUACGAAUAUCGCAUGAUAUUUUUAUUAAAGAAUUUCGGUUAUCGAUGGGGAUGCGUUCCAUUAGUUUG